AUUGGUUGACCAGGUUAAACCUGGUGAUGUGGUUUCUUUAGCCUGUUGUUGGUUGUGCUCUAUCUGGGCAUUUGCUCACAUCUCCAACAGGCCCAUGUAAAGAGUUUAUAUGUAACUUACUAUUCUCUUCUCAGGCCAGCUCCAUUGAGUGCUGUAUAAAAGAGCCUCUCAUUUCCCAAAAUUAGAAACCGAGACACAAAGGUUAAAGAGCUCCCGAAAUAACACAGAGAAAGGGAAGUGGAGGUUUCUCAGUUGGCAGGGGAAGGAAGUGGGUGAGUCUGGAUCAGGUAAAGGAAAAGGAGAGAAGGGGAGUGGACCGAGCCCCAAGACCCUGGUGAGAGAUGAAGGCAGUGUGCGUGCGUGUGUGUGGCUCAGAGGAAGAUACAUGUCAGGGCAAGUAUCAUUUCCACCAGUCUUAACCCCAUAAAAACUAUGAAGUGAGAAUAAUUUAAAACAAGGACACUCAGGAUGGAGUCCCAAGUGUGAGCAGUGUGAUGUCACUCAGGAUGGAGUCCCAUGUGGGAGUAGUGUGAUAAACUGGUGCAAGUUGAGAUCCUCAUAACUGGUGUUGGUCGAGUCCUUUCUCGGGGGGCUUGGAGCCUACAGACAUUUUAGAAGAAUGAAAUCAUUUGAAACAAACCCCUUUCAGAAAUGACCCAUUACCUUCCUGAUUCUACAAAUGAAAAAACGGAGAUAACCCUGGAAGAUCCACAUGAAUUUAAUAUUAGUAGCUGUAUGAUGUUCCAUUCAACUGGCUAUGGCUGCAAGGAGCUGGAACCAAUCCAACCUUUCCUGGUCUUCUGCAGCCUCAGGUACCCCAGGAUUCUUAUUAGUGAUGCAUAUCAUCACUUGAAUCAACAAGUGUCACUUCUGUUAUCAGCAAAGCCUAUUGCUCCAAGGCCCUGCUUCACAGAUGAGCACAGAAAGAGAAACCACAGGGUCAAGACCACAACUUCUAGAUGAGACAUCCGAAGCCCAGGAACCAAAAGAGCCGCUGAGAGUCAACUCGAGAAAGACACCCCCCUUAAUGCUGCCACUGACUACCAACUAAGUGAUAUGAAGCUUUAGGAGUCG
rnacentral:lncRNA from 1 species